rnacentral:rRNA from 1 species
GGCAGCAGUAGGGAAUCUUCCGCAAUGGACGAAAGUCUGACGGAGCGACGCCGCGUGUACGAAGAAGGCCUUCGGGUUGUAAAGUACUGUUGUUGGGGAAGAACGGCUCAAGUGUGAAUAAUGCUUGAGAUUGACGGUACCCAACGAGGAAGCCCCGGCUAACUACGUGCCAGCAGCCGCGGUAACACGUAGGGGGCGAGCGUUGUCCGGAAUUAUUGGGCGUAAAGGGCGCGUAGGCGGCCGUUUAAGUCUGAUGUGAAAGUGCGGGGCUUAACCCCGUAGAGCAUUGGAAACUGGAUGGCUUGAGGACAGGAGAGGAAAGUGGAAUUCCUAGUGUAGCGGUGAAAAGCGUAGAUAUUAGGAGGAACACCAGUGGCGAAGGCGACUUUCUGGACUGUUUCUGACGCUGAGGCGCGAAAGCGUGGGUAGCGAACAGGAUUAGAUACCCUGGUAGUCCACGCCGUAAACGAUGAGUGCUAAGUGU